GCCAACGUCCUCCAGGAAAGGUCAUGUGAGCCAACAACACUGAUGUUCAGCUCUAUCCGACGACAUCGCGCCUGGAUUGCGUGACGGCCCAAAGGCACAGGGCCAGAAAACUGUCUGUGUUUGGAUCGCUGUGGGCCGGGUUACAUCCAAACGUCGCGUGAGAUGGCGAUAUUUCUGCGAAACCUUCUCCAGGUGUCUUUCGAGGUGCCUGCUCAGAAACGUCACCAUCCGCAUUCACAGCCUCACAGGUUGAAAUUCACAAUGAAACGAACCACCAAAGAGAACCUCCUCCAUAAACACUCGGCGGGUUCUGCAAAUGACAGCAGCAGUCUAUUCAGGGCCUGGACACCAUUCCAGAUGGCCAGCAGACUUCCUGUUUUCAGCCACUGGAACUGAGAGAACAGUGGAUUCAUCUGCAGGCCUUUCAAAGAGCCACUUCAAUCUAUUACAGAGUGUAAGUGCCGUGGCGGGAGCAAAGCAUCAGAUCCAAAGCACUUUCUGUCCCCUUGCCGCUAAAUCAUCUGUUCCCUGAUGCCACAACCAUCAAGAGGAGGGGGAGGCUAAAUGCCCCCAGCCGCACUCACAGAAGAAGCCCCCCCUCCACUGAUGAAUUGGGCCCAUUAACAACCCAUACGCCAGUGGGAGUGAAUGAAAGUCAGGCACACAAAGACUCGGCCAUAGCGAAGAAAAUGGCGGAAGAUUUAAACAAGAAAAGAGAGGGUCGAUUAAAAAAAUUCCAUCAAAAUAAAAGGACACCCAAGCACUGUAUGGCUAAAAAGAAACAAGACUUCCCAUCCUUCUUUUGCUCAAAUAGGAACAUUUCACAUGAAGCAAAACAGGAUGUCUGCACACAAAUCCAACAGCAACAUUAGCACCACAUCCUCUUCAGGAUCCAUGCAAAUGAAUUAGGAGACGUUUCAAAUCCUCCACAAGGUACAGAAAGUGUCAUUUCUCCCCGUUACUUUGACUACAGGCUUAAUUAAAU